rnacentral:rRNA from 1 species
GACGAACGCUGGCGGCGUGCUUAACACAUGCAAGUCGAACGGAAAGGCCCUGCUUUUGUGGGGUGCUCGAGUGGCGAACGGGUGAGUAACACGUGAGUAACCUGUCCUUGUCUUUGGGAUAACUUCAGGAAACUGGGGCUAAUACCGGAUAGGAGCUCCUGCUGCAUGGUGGGGGUUGGAAAGUUUCGGCGGUUGGGGCUGGACUCGCAGCUUAUCAGCUUGUUGGUGGGGUAGUGGCUUACCAAGGCUUUGACGGGUAGCCGGCAUGAGAGGGUGGACGGGGACAUUGCGACUGAGGGACGGAGCAGUAGCCUACGGGAGGCAGCAGGGGGGAAUAUUGCAGAAUGGGCGGGAGCCUGAGGUAGCAGCGCCGCGUGCGGAAUGCUGGCCUUCGAGUUAUAAACCGCUGUGGCCUGUGACGAAGCGGGAGUGACGGUAAUGGGUAAAGAAGCACCGGCUAACUACGUG